rnacentral:lncRNA from 1 species
GGGGAAUUAGCUGAGCUACCAAACUACAGCCCACAACAGACAGCGGUGGGCAGAUUGAGAACACCUGAUCUUCCCAAAUUGACACUAGGAUCACAGAUGGCAUCAAUGUCUGGGUCUUAUGAAACGAUUAGGACUGUUUCACACAAUUUGGUGUGCUUAUAGGAGCUGCAUUCUUCCAAAGUCCCCAGCAAUAAUUUACAGAGCCACUUGGACAAGCAUGCAAAGACAGAAGUGUUGGGACACACAGUGGUGAAAAAUUCAAGAACUGGAGACAACAGCAUGUCUGUCGAGACAAGGCAUUAUUUAUUAUCUGUUAAAUAAAU